rnacentral:rRNA from 1 species
AACGAACGCUGGCGGCAUGCCUAACACAUGCAAGUCGAACGAGACCUUCGGGUCUAGUGGCGCCCGGGUGCGUAACGCGUGGGAACCUGCCCUUAGGUUCGGAAUAACUCCCCGAAAGGGGUGCUAAUAACGGAUAAUGUCUUCGGACCAAAGAUUUAUCGCCUUUGGAUGGGCCCGCGUUGGAUUAGCUAGUUGGUAGGGUAAAAGCCUACCAAGGCGACGAUCCAUAGCUGGUCGGUGAGGAUGAUCAGCCACACUGGGACUGAGACACGGCCCAGACUCCUACGGGAGGCAGCAGUGGGUAAUAUUGGACAGUGGGCGAAAGCCUGAUCCAGCAAGGCCGCGUGAGUGAUGAAGGCCUUAGGGUUGUAAAGCGCUUUUACCCGGGAUGAUAAUGACAGUACCGGGAGAAUAAGCUCCGGCUAACUCCGUG